CCCAGACUCCUACGGGAGGCAGCAGUCGGGAAUAUUGCACAAUGGAGGAAACUCUGAUGCAGUGACACCGCGUAUAGGAAGAAGGUUUUCGGAUUGUAAACUAUUUUAGACAGGGAAGAAAAAAGACAGUACCUGUAGAAUAAGCUCCGGCUAACUACGUGCCAGCAGCCGCGGUAAUACGUAGGGGGCAAGCGUUAUCCGGAUUUACUGGGUGUAAAGGGAGCGUAGACGGCGAAGAAAGUCUGAAGUGAAAGCCCGCGGCUCAACCGCGGAAUGGCUUUGGAAACUUUUUUGCUGGAGUACCGGAGAGGUAAGCGGAAUUCCUAGUGUAGCGGUGAAAUGCGUAGAUAUUAGGAGGAACACCAGUGGCGAAGGCGGCUUACUGGACGGUAACUGACGUUGAGGCUCGAAAGCGUGGGGAGCAAACAGGAUUAGAUACCCUCGUAC
rnacentral:rRNA from 1 species